rnacentral:rRNA from 1 species
UACAGAGGUCUCAAGCGUUGUUCGGAUUCAUUGGACGUAAAGGGUGCGUAGGUGGCGCUGUAAGUCGGGUGUGAAAUUUCGGAGCUUAACUCCGAAACUGCAUUCGAUACUGCGGUGCUUGAGGACUGGAGAGGAGACUGGAAUUCAUGGUGUAGCAGUGAAAUGCGUAGAGAUCAUGAGGAAGACCAGUGGCGAAGGCGGGUCUCUGGACAGUUCCUGACACUGAGGCCCGAAGGCCAGGGGAGCAAACGGG